rnacentral:sRNA from 1 species
AUCUAAACCUGAUUGACGUGGAAACCAAAAGCUUUUUCUGCUUUUGUUGAAACAGAAAGCAGGACUCACU